AUCUUCAUAAAGCGUUGCUAUUCUGUGCUUCCUGGCACAAAAAGACUAGAAAAAUAUUAAAUUAUGCAAUCUAAUUAUGUAAAUGGGCUCUGGCUUUUUUUAAUGAGCCCAGUAUUAGCUUCUAUCCUUUAUCAGAUGUCUUGCCCACAGCCUAAUGUUGGGACAGUCCUGUUCACAUCCUGUUAGUGUGUCUGCACUAAUUGGCUCCCUUAUUUAAGAGAAACCUGUGGGAGACAGGAUUUGGUUUGUCAGAUGUGUAGAACAAACAAACAGCAGAGCCCUGCAUGGCACAGAAAUAGCUGGCAACAAGCCGUCCCUGAGGAGCUUUCAGCACUGCAACCAGGAACAGCAGACGAGAUGAAAGCUUGAAGAGAUCCCUCGUCCAGCACCAGAACGUGUUGACAGAGCACAGUGGUUGAGGAUUCAGCCUCUCGUUUAUUGCACACUGUUGAGGGUUUAAUAGAUGUCCGUUUCCAAAAGAGCACCCUUCUUACUGAUGCUCUUUAAAGGUGCAAAACAUUCUGAGACUGUGGUCCUGCUCAGGAGUCAGACAGACAUGCACACAUCCUCACGCUCCAUUAGCUUUCUGCUGUUCUCUUAUGAUGGCUUCACAAAAUCAACAAACUCUUGUAAAAACGAACCACCCGGAAACUGUCUUCGAGACAUAAUCUUUCAGAUGAGAUUCUGUCAAGGUUAGUCUGGAAGAACUUUCCCAUUCUGUUUACUUCAGUAAUAUUGGUAGCAUUUUAUUUUACAGUCCUGUUUCUCAUGUACAUACUAUGUACUUAUUAUAGUAAUUACAAUAACUGUGUAAUACCUAGGUACUAACCCUGAACCUACCCCAUAGUUACCUUGUAUUACCAGAACUUUUCUUAGAUAAGUAUGGACAUGUACUGUAAAAUAAAGUGCAACCGUAAUAUUACUGUAAGCUCGUAGGUCAUAUUGUCUGUCUAUUUAUGGUGAAAUUAUAUUAAACUGUGCCAGUUAGUUAAACCUUAUUUUCAACUGGUGUUUAACCACUUGAUCCCUACAACUUACAAACAGACUGUUCAAUGAGCAGUUCUCCAGCGACAGCUAAAACUAGAUGAAUUCUUCCACAAUGACCGCAGUAUUAUGGGGUUUGUAUAAGGCCCCUGCAGAGCAGAGAUAAAUAGUGUGGCACGGACAGCAGUUUAUCAGGUUAUUCCACACAGUUCAUGCGUUUCCCCUGCAACACACCGCCUGCCAUCUCCAGUGACCCAUGGGCUCAGACGCUAAAAGCCGUUGUGGUUUGUGAUGUGGCUGCUCUGCAAACACUGACAUUUACUGAGAUUCAUCAGUCUGAAGUACCCUCAUCCGGUCUUAUUAAUCGAGAGGACAUCUGAGUUUCUCCGGCGCGCUCAGGCGCGAGGUACACAACAUGCUGUACACGCUCAGAGUUCAGUCUCUUGAGUUAAUUACAGUGACAAAUGGCAAACAGGCCUCAAAAGUGCAGUGUGUAGUUAAAAAAGUGACCGGCUCAUUCUUGAAUGUAAACAGUUUCCUGGAUUCACUGUAAUCUAAUUACUACCUGGAACGCUUGGGCACAUAGUGCAGAAACACUUUGGGUGAAAUCAUUUUGUUUACAGCAUUAGGAUUAAUCGUUUCUUUUGUAGUGUUUGUUGUUUGUAACAUUUGUAAUGAGCGAGAAAAAAGAAUGAAUCCACAAAAAUAUUAAGCAGAAUAUAUAUAUUUUUUCUUAAGCAUCAAAUCAGAAUGAUUUCUGAAGAUCAUGUGACACUGAAAACUGGAGUAAUGAUGCUAAAUAAAUUCAGCUUUUCCAACACAGGAAUAGGUUACACGUUAAAAUAUAUUAAAUUCACUUAUUUUUAGUAUUUCAUAAUAUUAAUAAUAAUUUUAUUUAUUUAUUUAACAGUAUUUUUUAUCAAAUAAUUUUAGCACUGAUGAUAAAAAAGCUGCACUGAUCAUGAACUUUUUAUUAUUUUAAAUUUUUAUUAUUGAAGAUUGUGCUGUGUUAU
ensembl:lncRNA